rnacentral:lncRNA from 1 species
AUUUUAAGUAACUUAUUGUUAUAAUUGUAAUGGAAAAGUAAUGAUAUUAAAAGGUCUUUUUUCUUUUAUUAACCAUUACUUUGCCUCAGUUUUUUGAACACAUACAUGCUGCUGUCUGGGCCUCUAUUGAACCAAAUUUAUUCACUCUUUGAAUUGCUUGUAGAACUUGGAAAUAUUUCAAGGUUGUCUAUUCAUGAAGUGGAAGAAUCACUUUACAUGUCUCCAAAUGUUAAUAUUUUAUGAAUAUUUUACACAUUGGGAAUGUGUCAUGGAUCAUACUUGAUACUAAUUAUAUUCAGGAGCUCAAUCUAUCUCAUGGAUACAAAGCAGAGAGAAUAACUACCAGACUGUUUUCAGAUGCUUUUUUACCACUCUUUUUGUCUCCCUUAGACACAGUCACCUUAUGAGAAUAUCUCUGACAAGUCUGAUUUGCAUCUGGAAUGUCCCCCAAAUUUCAUUCACUGAUGGCAGAAGACUUAGGAGUUGGGCUUUUAAUCAUUUCUUGGAUUAUGGUAUAUAUCCUUCACUUCAUUCUGAUAUGAAAUACAUACAAUGUUUUUGGACUUAUGUAUUUUCCUCUGAAUUAGAUAAUGGAAAGUAUCUUAUUACAUAAUUAAGGUCACUCUCCUACAUGACAGUCAGUUCUACUAACUCUUAAUUCAAACUAAAAACUGAAUAACAGUUUAGUCCGUGUGCUAUUGAUCUACCAAUUUGUAUUUCAGGAGCCUUUGACAUUCGGGGAUGUGGCUAUUGAUUUCUCUGAGGAGGAAUGGGAAUGCCUGGAUCCUGCUCAGCAGAAUUUAUAUAGAGAAGUGAUUUUGGAGACCUACAGUAACCUGGUCUUU